GGGUUUUCCAGGAAAGCGUCGGCAUCCCACAAGAGCCAAGAUAAAUCUGCUGCAUGGGGUAAAUCUUCUCCCCGAGGCAAAUCCCAUCUGCCCCCCGGGUUAAAUCAUCCCAUCAACCCCCCGAGAGCCAAAAACCAGUGGACAUGGCAAAAGCUAAUUUUUUGCUGUGAGCAUAACAGCAGCUCUGUUCCCAGAUGCAGUGGUUUCUGGAUGGACACCUUCACCUGCCUCUCACCAUGCCCGGACAGCCCAUGUCACCCCAUCCUACCCUACCCAGAGGUGCGGGAGGAUACCAGCCCUGGGGAGCCUGGGGACAUCAAGCUGGGAGGAGGGAGGAAAGUUCCCAGGGGCUGGUGAUCCAGUUGGACCAGGUGGUGCUUUUUGGAAGCUCCACGUGCUGCUUUUCUCUGUGGAAAUGCCCAUGGACAAGGAGCAUUUGGCAGGUGCCAGCUGCACCCCAAGCUCCUGUUCUCCCAUUGGGAUAGAGGCUGAAGCCCGUGUGUGUGUGGGCGAAGCUUUGUAUCACUCUGUGCUCCGAGACCCUCAUGUCUUCUCCCUUCUCCUCUUCCCAUGAUUGCACACCUGGAUGCUGGAGCACCCUGGGGACACCCCAAGGCCACAGGGAAGGAUCCACAUCAUGCCUGGCUAAGCCCACAGCAGCAAAAAUAGAGCCUAGCACAGGGAAUAAAGAUGAUGGUGCUACAGGUGGGGGUGAAGUCAAUUUAACUUCAUCCUAGGCAGGCCAGUACCUUCCCCAGGGAGCAUGAUCCAGCUCCACAGCUGAGCCAGCCUAGAGUCACAUCUGUUCUGCUCCCGGGCCAAAGGGAAACCACAGCAUUACCCAAGGGGAGGGAAAAAGCGUUUUUGCUCCCAACACCUCUUCCCUGCAGCAUUGACCCAGAGGAGACUGGCCCAAGCAGGGCUGCUCUCUCAAUACCACCUGGGGCAGCAAAAGCAAUCCAAAAACUCCUCUACCCAUAUGGGGUAUAUCCUGGGGGAGCAGCAUCACCCCUUCUAGCCCAAUAGAAGCUCAAAUCCAGCAUCAGGGCACCUAUCAACCCAUUUUCACAUGGCUAAAAGUGGAAAAAAAGCUGGAGUCCUUCCCAGGGCUCCAGCUACACCUCUAGAUGGGUCCCCGGGGCUCAGCACCAUCUUCACUCCUUCAGUAUCAGUUAAGCACAGCAAAAUAGCUGGCAGCCACCUCGGCCAGGAGCCGGCAGCCCAGGGUUAAUUCCUCCCAUACCUGAGCUGACAUUUCAACACAAUUACACAAUUAUGGAGAUUCCUACAGUAACCAUAGAAGUUCCCAUCAAAAUUUGGGAGGCUCCCACCCCCCAGGGGGUUUUCCCACCCAGAGGUACACCCCAGCUCCUUCCAUCCCAGCGAUGAAGGAGAAAAAACAAUCAAAAUGAUCUGGUUUUAUUAUGCAAAAAUGUUAACUUUUAUAAAAAGUUUAUAAAGCAAGUACAAGGCAUAUUCGCAGAAAAUCACCUUCCUGCACAAAAGGUACAAAAAGUUAUACUCUAGUAUAGAGCUCCACAAUACACGAGGCCACAGCCCCAGAGAGUUUAGUUCAUACUCAAGGAUGUUUAUCCCCCCUCCCCAAAGCCCCCUAAUCCCCACCCCGCCAUCCCAUUAAACAUCUUUAAAAAAAAGGACUCGCUGCUAUAAUCCAAAAAUAUACAGACAA